CUAAUUGUCACGUUACCAGACGGGACAUCGACUUCAAGUGGAGGCCGUGGGUCUCCCUCCUCGAUCCGUACUUUCCUCCGCCAGACCCCCCAAAUGUAACCCUAUUUUAUGAUCGGCAGGGCGAUGAGGUGUAUAGAGAGGGGUUUGGGGAUGUAGUGUGUGGGGACACGUGGCAGGUCGGGUCUAAAUUCAUAUAUGUAGGCCCUGAAGGGGUAGCGGCAGAUGUACAGUUGACAGAGGAGCAGGAUCAGUGGUACAUGAUGGCGGAGGAGUCCGUCCCGCAUGUGUCACUGGCCCUGCAUCCUAAACACCAAGCAAAAGACCUGGGGCCCAUGGUUAAAAGGGCGGUCGAAUGUACUGAUUGGACACUCACUCAGGCGCCAAACGUAUUGUACUCACACAGCUGUAAGACGUAAAACUGGUUCACCUGCAUUGACCUGGCUAACGCUUUUUUCUGUCUCCCACUAGCAGAGGAACUUCAUGAUAUUUUUUCUUUCACAUAAAGGGGUCGGCAAUGGCGGUACACGAGACUACCACAGGGGUUCGCGCUUUCCCCUGGUAUAUUCAACCAGGUACUGAGAGAAGCGCUGCAGGGAUGCUGCCUGCCGACAGGGGUAACUUUGGUCCAGUACGUAGAUGACCUGCUGCUGGCGGCCCCGACGGUAGGAGAACCGGGAAGGAGGAGCUUUCCCCAGUGUGGACGGAAGGAGGACCAGCACCAGCCGGACCGGUGCCAGGAGCGGACCCCAGGACACGGCGGGACUACGAGCGAGUGAAGGAGACAAAGGACGGCGCCAGGGGAAUAGACUCUUAGGGGAAAGAACUGAAGAAUACUGUAACAAAAGGUUUCCCAGGUUGGCAUCGGGUCUUCAUUCCCCCAGCGAAGAGGUUUGUGACCCCACCUGAGGACACCUGUUUGAGGAAAUUUGGGGGAUUGAAUUGGACUAUGUCAAGGGGUUGCAUUCGAGCAUUCUGGGAUAGAUAAUCCGCUGGAGGAAUGGCUGACCUCGAUGUUCUGCCAGUGGAAAGGUUUGAUAAUGUCUGUUCUUUUAUCGCUAUCUACAUUUGGUGCUAUAAUGGUUACUUGCGGGUGUUGUUGUAUCCCAUGCAUAAGAGGGCUUGCCAUGAGAGUGAUCUCUACAGCCAUUGAGAAGGCUCCAGGACCGCCACCAGGGAUGCUGAUGCCUCUACUGUAGCAGCAUGACCCGGGAGAACUGGAGCUUGGCGAAUAGGGGUGAUCUCUCUGGGGAGAGAUCAAAAGGGGGAAUUGUAGAUGUAUUGAUUGUAUAAGUUAGUGAACUGUUGUAAGCUGUUGUAACCAAUGAAACAAAAUAUUAAUUGUUUGUAAUAUGAGCUAAAAUGGAAGGUGCAAGUAGGAGAAUAGGACACCAUAUUCAAGCGGUUGCCGGGGAGAGAAAGAUUUAGUAUGUCUGUUUUGUGAGAAACAGGUCACAGGUCAGAGACACACACAGUCGGACAGACAAGACAGAAACCAGAAGGGAGGCAAGGGGAUACUUGCAGUUAUAAGGAAUAGAACUGGGAUUGGGCCAAUGGCACACACUUUGUAAGUUAACGCCUCUAUCUUUUUGGGCGUAGUAGAAGUAUAAAAAUGAUGUUUUGACUGUUGAUCCUUAGACAUUGUGCGGCGACACCUUGUCUCCAAAAGCUUUUGUAAUAAAC
ensembl:lncRNA